rnacentral:other from 1 species
UCAUUCCUGCUGUGUGCGUGCCGUCCGUAUCGGACAUGUGGCUCAUUAAACCCACAUCUCUAAUAAGGGAUGCCGACUUGAAUCUGCGGAUUGCAGGCCUCCCGGUGUUUUCUGCGCCGGAUGUUGGAAGCAGCGAAACAGAACUUAGGCGACCCACCUGCCCUUUCGUGCAGGUUAUAAUUGAGCCAGCACGGCAUUUGCGGGAUGCU